AUAAAGUCUACUCUGCCACUGAUUUGAUAAUUAAAGGGCUGCAGUAUAUUGACUGUACAAAGGUAGCAUAAUCAUUAGUCAUUUAAUUGAUGACUUGUAUGAAAGAUUGGAUGAAAUAUAAACUGUCUCUUAAUUAUAGAUAGAAUUUAAUUUUUUAAUUAAAAAGUUAAAAUGAAUUAAAAAGACGAGAAGACCCUAUAGAGUUUUAUAAUUAAUUUAAUUAAGAUUAUUUAAUGUUAAAAUUAAAAUUAAAUUAUUUAUUUUGUUGGGGUGACAAAAAAAUAAAUUUAACUUUUUUUAAAUUAAAACAUUUAUAAGUGAUUAAAUGAUCCAAUAUUAUUGAUUAUAAGAAAAAAUUACCUUAGGGAUAACAGCGUAAUUUUUUUUUUUAGUUCAAAUAAGAAAAAGAGUUUGCGACCUCGAUGUUGGAUUAAGAUAAAAUUUAAAUGCAGAAGUUAAAAUUUUGAUCGUCGAUCA
rnacentral:rRNA from 1 species